rnacentral:rRNA from 1 species
GACCCUAUGCAGCUUCUACUGUAGUUAGUUAUCACAUUCUCAUAAGCUUUGUGUAGCGUAUAAGGUUAAUGUUUGUUUUAUAAACAAAAAGUCGAUAGACACAGUUGAAACACCUUUCUUAGUUUUAUGUUAAUGUUCACCUAAUCUAUUUUAUUAAGUAAAAGUCUCAUGAUUAGGGAUAAAUGACUAAUUGGCAGUUUGUCUGGGGCGGACGUCUUUAAUAGAGUAUCAGAGACAUCCACAAGGUAUGUCUUAAAUUGGAUGGAGACCAAGAAAGCCAUGAACGGCAUAAUAAGGUAUAAUGACUUAAGCAUGCUUAACUGAGAGACCCAUAAGUCAAACAGAUACGUAAGUAGGGCAUAAUGAUCCGGCGGUAUAUUAUGGAAUAGCCGUCGCACAAUAGAUAAAAGUUACGCUAGGGAUAA